AAACGUGUAUCAAGUUAAAGCGUCAUUCUAUUACUUUAUGAGUAUUCAGAUUUGUGAAUUCCUUUAUUAGAAAUCAUAUCUGGUGAUUGUUAUAGGUCACGGGAUCGUUCAAGUACGAAGAGAAGGAGAGGAUCACGCCGGUCUCGCUCCCGUUCUCGCUCCAGGUCGAGAUCAUAUUCCAGGGACCGCAAGCAUACAAGGAAGUAGGAACGAACCAUUGCUGGAGAUAUUGUAUAAAGAUGGCUUCAUGCAUGCUCAUGCCAGGCCAAAGCUUGCUGCCCUAAAUGCUUUCAUUAUGUGAGUGCAUAGUAGAAGUAAGACACAUGCUUACUUAAGAAACAUUAUUUUGUCUGAACUUACUCCUGAUCCUGAGAGUUCCCAAUAGUAAGUAUGAUUAUGAGUAUUUUUUUUCUCUCUCUCUUUUAUUACAUUUUUAAAACUGUUUUUGCUGUAAUAUAUAUUUUUUUAUUUUGUUUUAUAUUUUCAUUUUACAAUAUUUUUGUUUUUCUUUGAACUUGCAAUAGAGUUUUCAGAUAUUUUGAAAUGACUGAAACUUCCAUGUGUGUUUUAUCAUGAUUUUAUUAUUAUCAUUAAAAUUAUUCUUAUUGUUAUUGUUAUUAUUAUUGUCACUGUUGUUAUUAUAAUUAUUAUUAUUGUUAUAAUUAUUAUUAUUAUUAUUAUUAUUAUUAUGAUUAUUAUUAUUAUUAUACUAACAUGGAUAUAAAGUCAACAUGGAAAAAAAUUGAAUACACAUAGAGUUGUCAUUUUAGUACCUUAUCAGCUAGCUCCAAUGUAUUAUUUUUGCAUUUUAUUUCAAUGAUGAAAAUGAAAGUUAACUCUUACUUGAAAAUGAGCUCAAAGUCUGCUCUCUAUGAUAAACAGCAAAUAUACUACAAAAGGUAAAAAAAUAAAUGAAUUGUUCAUGUCAGAGAGAAACAGCAAGCCUAUGUGGCAUAGAUAUUGCGAGGCUCUGUGAGAGAAUCAACAAAAUAUUUCUCAAACUCAAAAGUAUUGGUGCAUAUCAGCACUAUAUAUUGAGGAGUCAGGUAUUAGUUGAACAUUGUAUUCAAAUUAUUGAAAUGUAUAACGUUUCAGAAAAGAAAGUGAAUCAAGUUUGCACACAUACAAGUUGAGUCUUACAUCUGUCACAUCUGCUUGUUGUGGGCAAGUAGAGAUAUUAACACAGAUGUAUAGUGGCAUUUAAAAAGACAAUUCUGACAUGGACAGAAUGAUAGGCAUAGACUUACUAGAUUGAUAAAAACAGGAAAUAGGAGAUAACAGUAAAACUAGAGAAGUAUACGUCUAAAUAUGCUCAUCUAUCUAUAUUAAUAUAUUAAAAUGAUUAAAUUUGGUUGAAACAUUUCUCAAUUUUUGAGACAGAUUAGAAAAAAAUUAUAUGUGUAAUAUUUGCUGUGUGUAGAUCUGGAUUGUUUUCAAUUGGCUAAUUUUGAUUUCAAUCCAUGUUGCUCCAAGGGAACAGCAAGCAGUUUUCUUUAUUAGUGUGUAAGAGAGGUGUCUACAUGUAAGAAGUAGUCACAGUGAAGUCCAUUUAUUGUUAUGUGAAAAAUUUUGAGCAUUGGAAUAUGGCAUUAUAUUUAACUUGGCAAAUACAUUUGGGAGCCAUGAAAGACUUCUGAAUUUGUAAGGUAGAAUAUUAAAAUUAGCAUUUCUUGUAAUUUUGUUGUCUUUUGUGCCACAUUAAGUGUACAUGGUAAACUUGUCAUUGCUUUUUUCUAUACACAUAUAUAUAUAUAUAAUCUGUGUGCAUAAUGUACAGUGAUAUUGGACCUUCCAGUGGCCUUUGCUUUGAAUAAGAUUGUAUUGAGAUGAUUUUUCCUUUUUUGUAGUGCAUUUAAGCUGACUUCUAUUUUAUCAAAAUUCUUUGACAUAAUACAUUCAAGUUAUUUGUUUAGAGUUUGAUGUUGACUUCCCCUGUUAUAGCCAGUGAAUAUCUACAGUGAGAUGUAAAUGAUCACAUUUGAGAACUUGUUCAUUGUAGUUUAAUGGUGGAAGGGCAAGAGAAAUUUGAAGUAUGCAUAUUGUGGUAGCAUAUUGUUGGUAUUAAUGUAUGCUUAUGAUUUCGGAAUAUGUUUUGUUGAUUUAUGUAAGCAUUAUGUCUGGAUUGUAAAUCUUCUAGCAAGCAGAUUGUAAUAUUUUCUUUAUAUAAAGAUAAGACAAAGUAUCAAAGAUAAAGGUUAAACAUACUUAAGAUUACAUCUCAUUUUUAAAGGUAUGAAUGUGAAAUAUUGACCAUUUUAAGUUGGCUCCUCUUUCAUUAAGUGAUCAUGCCAUUUUUCUGGUACAACUGAUAUUUGUUUUGUAUUGAUGAUUUGUUUUAUGUACAUAUCAAGAUGGAUGAUCAGAAACUUUGCCAACCCUUGCAGUUCAAGUAUGCAAAAUAGACAUUGUGCUUUGGGUUACAAGUGAAAUAGAGAUACUGUCAAUAACCAAAUCCCAGAAAUGUGAUUUAGCUUGUAGAGAAUGAGUGGUUUCACAAGUGUUCAUAACUGUAAAUUGUUAGAAAUAAACCUCUCAAAGA